rnacentral:rRNA from 1 species
AGUUGUAUCCUGGCUCAGAGUGAACGCUGGCGGCGUGCUUAACACAUGCAAGUCGAACGAGAACGGGUUAUAGCUUGCUAUAACUGUCAGCUAAGUGGCGCACGGGUGAGUAAUAUAUAGUUAAUCUGCCCUAAAGAGGGGAAUAACGUUUGGAAACGGACGCUAAUACCCCAUAUGCCUUUAAGACAAAAGUCUGCAAGGGAAAUAUUUAUAGCUUUAGGAUGAGACUGUACGGUAUCAGGUAGUUGGUGAGGUAAUGGCUCACCAAGCCAAUGACGCCUAACUGGUUUGAGAGGAUGAUCAGUCACACUGGAACUGAGACACGGUCCAGACUCCUACGGGAGGCAGCAGUGGGGAAUAUUGCACAAUGGAGGAAACUCUGAUGCAGCAACGCCGCGUGGAGGAUGACACUUUUCGGAGCGUAAACUCCUUUUAUAUAGGAAGAUAAUGACGGUACUAUAUGAAUAAGCACCGGCAAACUCCGUGCCAGCAGCCGCGGUAAUACGGAGGGUGCAAGCGUUACUCGGAAUCACUGGGCGUAAAGAGCGUGUAGGCGGGUUAAUAAGUCAGAUGUGAAAGCCAAUGGCUCAACCAUUGAACUGCAUUUGAAACUGUUAACCUAGAAUAUGGGAGAGGUAGAUGGAAUUUCUGGUGUAGGGGUAAAAUCCGUAGAGAUCAGAAGGAAUACCGAUUGCGAAGGCGAUCUACUGGAACAUUAUUGACGCUGAGACGCGAAAGCGUGGGGAGCAANCAGGAUUAGAUACCCUGGUAGUCCACGCCCUAAACGAUGUACACUAGUUUGUUGCGAUGCUAGACAUUGCAGUAAUGCANUUAACACAUUAAGUGUACCGCCNGGGGAGUA